rnacentral:lncRNA from 1 species
UAAGAAGCCAUAUAGCUAGGCCAGUCACUAUGUGAAUGAGACCUGACCUCAAUAAAGCCUCCAUUUACUCAAUAAAAGUCCUAGCAAAGGUUGUAGGCACUCUUUUAUUAUAACCUUUUCCUUUCAGGCUAAACCUGUGAUCCACAAAUCUGAGUCCCCAAGCUCAGGUCCUGUUUGAGAAUCCUUGGAGAAGAAAUCUCCCCUUUCUGAUGGAUUGACAAACCUCUCCUGACUCUACCGAGAGCAAUAUUCAGACAAGCCCAGGUUCACAAAGACAGGAUUGCUCAAAUGGAAAUUGGGAAACUCUGGAAACCUGAACUGACCAUUAAGGAGAAGUCCCAGUGGAGGGAGCCAAGUGUAACAAGGCAGACACUCACGUAGCUUCAUGCAGACUGCAAGGAUGGGAAAGCCAGUCAUUAAGGCACAAGUGAACAAAACAAUUAAAGAUGGAGACAGAAGUCUGUGUUCCUGUGGGAUAACCUUUCAUUUCAUAAAUAAUUAUUUACAUUUAAAUGUAAAUAUUUCUGACCUCUGAUUUGUUCAGAUAGCCAUGGUCAGGGUGCAACAACAGAAUCAUUUUGUUCUGAUACUUGUUCUGAUGUUUAUAAAAUAAAAU